GCUUCCGUGGAUGAGCGGUUAAUCGCCUCAACUGUGUAGUAUGUGAUAAGAAUUUUAAUGAGGAGACGCGGGCUCGAGUCCCGCCGGAGGCG